rnacentral:rRNA from 1 species
UGGGGAAUAUUGCACAAUGGGGGAAACCCUGAUGCAGCGACGCCGCGUGAGUGAAGAAGUAUUUCGGUAUGUAAAGCUCUAUCAGCAGGGACGAAUAAAUGACGGUACCUGACUAAGAAGCCCCGGCUAACUACGUGCCAGCAGCCGCGGUAAUACGUAGGUGGCAAGCGUUGUCCGGAUUUACUGGGCGUAAAGGAUGCGUAGGCGGAUACUUAAGUCAGAUGUGAAAAUCCCGGGCUUAACUUGGGAACUGCAUUUGAAACUGGGUAUCUAGAGUGCGGGAGAGGAAAGUGGAAUUCCUAGUGUAGCGGUGAAAUGCGUAGAGAUUAGGAAGAACAUCAGUGGCGAAGGCGACUUUCUGGACCGUAACUGACGCUGAGGCAUGAAAGCGUGGGGAGCAAACA